GAAUUCGAUUGCGGAUCCGCGGCCGCUGAAGAUCUGGUUGAUUCUGCCGGACCCGACUGCUAUCAGAGUGAGAUAAGCCAUGCGAGUCAACAUAGCAAUAUGUGGCAUACGGCUCAGUAACACGUAGUCAACAUGCCCAGGGGACGUGGAUAACCUCGGGAAACUGAGGAUAAACCGCGAUAAGUCACUACUUCUGGAAUGGGUAAUGACUCAAAUCUAUAUGGCCCCUGGAUUGGACUGCGGCCGAUCAGGCUGUUGGUGAGGUAAUGGCCCACCAAACCUGUAACCGGUACGGGCUCUGAGAGGAGGAGCCCGGAGAUGGGCACUGAGACAAGGGCCCAGGCCCUAUGGGGCGCAGCAGGCGCGAAACCUCUGCAAUAGGCGAAAGCUUGACAGGGUUACUCUGAGUGAUUUCCGUUAAGGAAAUCUUUUGGCACCUCUAAAAAUGGUGCAGAAUAAGGGGUGGGCAAGUCUGGUGUCAGCCGCCGCGGUAAUACCAGCACCCCGAGUGGUCGGGACGUUUAUUGGGCCUAAAGCAUCCGUAGCCGGUUCUACAAGUCUUCCGUUAAAUCCAACUGCUUAACAGGUGGGCUGCGGAAGAUACUAUAGAGCUAGGAGGCGGGAGAGGCAAGCGGUACUCGAUGGGUAGGGGUAAAAUCCGUUGAUCCAUUGAAGACCACCAGUGGCGAAGGCGGCUUGCCAGAACGCGCUCGACGGUGAGGGAUGAAAGCUGGGGGAGCAAACCGGAUUAGAUACCCGGGUAGUCCCAGCUGUAAACGAUGCAGACUCGGUGAUGAGUUGGCUUUAUGCCAACUCAGUGCCGCAGGGAAGCCGUUAAGUUUGCCGCCUGGGGAGUACGGUCGCAAGACUGAAACUUAAAGGAAUUGGCGGGGGAGCACCACAAGGGGUGAAGCCUGCGGUUCAAUUGGAGUCAACGCCGGA
rnacentral:rRNA from 1 species